UGGGCUGGCUCGGGCGCGCGAGGGGGAAUUGGCCAAUCCGGCCCAAUUCGGCCGGGCCGAUCCGUUUCUCUUUUUUUUCCUCUUAGCCUUUUCUCUUUUUCUUUUUCUGUAAAUCCCUUCUAACUUUUGAUUUUGAACUCCAAAUUGAUCCAAAUAAAUUCCAGAAAAUUUGUAAAAUCAUAUUAUAAUAUGAUUCAACUUUUGGGACUAAUUUCUCUUCGAAAUAAAAUAUAUAAAAAUACAUUUGCCUUAUAAAUGCCUUUAGGGCUAUAUAACUAUUUAAAAAAAAUAGUUUUUCAACUCCAAAUAAAUACCAAAAAUUAUGGGAUAGCUUAUUUAUGCAAUAAACCCCUUCUGUAGUUAAACCCUAUUGGUUUAAAGAUCCAAAGCUCAAAUGGGUGAAUAACUUGGUUUUAAAAAUGGAAUAAAACCCUUUUAAAGCCUUUUUGGAAUUCAAAUUUGAUUCAAAUAUGCAAUUGUGGCAUGAUGCUCAUGGAUGCAAUGCUUUGAAUUUUUGGGAUGUUACACUUUGGGCAGUGCUUGUUAAGCGAUGUGAAGUCGACACACAUAUGCAUCACUGUGGUAUUCUUCUUGGGGACAAGGACGGGGUUUGCUACCCAUGUCGCUUGUUUUAUCUCCCUGAUGAAUUUAGCUUCGAGGAGUCGUUUAACUUCCUCCCCGAUGGCUUUGCGCUUUGGCUCCGAUAAACGCCGCAUGGGUUGUCGCACCGGCUUUGCAUUCUCGUCCACUUUUAAGAGCGUGCUCUGCUAAUUCCCAGGGAGUUCCAGGCAUG
rnacentral:lncRNA from 1 species